CACGGAGGAUCCGAGCGUUAUCCGGAUUUAUUGGGUUUAAAGGGUGCGCAGGCGGGAGAUUAAGUCGGCGGUGAAAUUUUGCAGCUCAACUGUAAAAGUGCCAUCGAUACUGGUUUUCUUGAGUGUGGAUGAAGUAGGCGGAAUUUGUGGUGUAGCGGUGAAAUGCAUAGAUAUCACGAGGAACUCCGAUUGCGCAGGCAGCUUACUAGGCCAUAACUGACGCUCAGGCACGAAGGCGUGGGGAUCAAACAGGAUUAGA
rnacentral:rRNA from 1 species